AACUCUACGGAAUAACUCAGGGAAACUUGUGCUAAUACCGUAUACGCCCUUCGGGGGAAAGAUUUAUCGGAGUUGGAUGAGCCCGCGUUGGAUUAGCUAGUUGGUGGGGUAAAGGCCUACCAAGGCGACGAUCCAUAGCUGGUCUGAGAGGAUGAUCAGCCACAUUGGGACUGAGACACGGCCCAAACUCCUACGGGAGGCAGCAGUGGGGAAUAUUGGACAAUGGGCGCAAGCCUGAUCCAGCCAUGCCGCGUGAGUGAUGAAGGCCCUAGGGUUGUAAAGCUCUUUCACCGGUGAAGAUAAUGACGGUAACCGGAGAAGAAGCCCCGGCUAACUUCGUGCCAGCAGCCGCGGUAAUACGAAGGGGGCUAGCGUUGUUCGGAAUUACUGGGCGUAAAGCGCACGUAGGCGGGUAUUUAAGUCAGGGGUGAAAUCCCAGAGCUCAACUCUGGAACUGCCUUUGAUACUGGGUACCUAGAGUAUGGAAGAGGUGAGUGGAAUUCCGAGUGUAGAGGUGAAAUUCGUAGAUAUUCGGAGGAACACCAGUGGCGAAGGCGGCUCACUGGUCCAUUACUGACGCUGAGGUGCGAAAGCGUGGGGAGCAAACAGGAUUAGAUACCC
rnacentral:rRNA from 1 species